rnacentral:rRNA from 1 species
GAUGAACGCUGGCGGCGUGCCUAAUACAUGCAAGUCGAGCGAACGGACGAGAAGCUUGCUUCUCUGAUGUUAGCGGCGGACGGGUGAGUAACACGUGGAUAACCUACCUAUAAGACUGGGAUAACUUCGGGAAACCGGAGCUAAUACCGGAUAAUAUUUUGAACCGCAUGGUUCAAAAGUGAAAGACGGUCUUGCUGUCACUUAUAGAUGGAUCCGCGCUGCAUUAGCUAGUUGGUAAGGUAACGGCUUACCAAGGCAACGAUGCAUAGCCGACCUGAGAGGGUGAUCGGCCACACUGGAACUGAGACACGGUCCAGACUCCUACGGGAGGCAGCAGUAGGGAAUCUUCCGCAAUGGGCGAAAGCCUGACGGAGCAACGCCGCGUGGGUGAUGAAGGUCUUCGGAUCGUAAAACUCUGUUAUUAGGGAAGAACAUAUGUGUAAGUAACUGUGCACAUCUUGACGGUACCUAAUCAGAAAGCCACGGCUAACUACGUG